GGCGUGCAUGAGACAUGCAAGUCGAACGAACGAGCUGCUCGUUAGUGGCGGACGGCUGAGUAACGCGUAGGUGACCUGCCCCGAAGUGGGGGAUAACUGCCCGAAAGGGUGGCUAAUACCGCAUGUGGCGAUGUGUUCAAUCACAUCAUCAAAGCCGCGAGGCGCUUCGGGAGGGGCCUGCGUCCGAUUAGCUCGUUGGUGGGGUAACGGCUCACCAAGGCGACGAUCGGUAGGUGGUCUGAGAGGACGAUCACCCAGACUGGGACUGAGACACGGCCCAGACUCCUACGGGAGGCAGCAGUCGGGAAUUUUGCUCAAUGGGGGAAACCCUGAAGCAGCAACGCCGCGUGCGGGAUGAAGGCCUUCGGGUUGUAAACCGCUUUUCUCAGGGACGAUGAUGACGGUACCUGAGGAAUAAGUCACGGCUAACUACGUGCCAGCAGCCGCGGUAAUACGUAGGUGACCAGCGUUGUCCGGAUUUACUGGGCGUAAAGAGCGCGCAGGCGGUCGUUCAAGUCGAGUGUGAAAGCCCCCGGCUCAACUGGGGAGGGUCAUUCGAUACUGAUCGACUCGAAGGCAGGAGAGGGAAGCGGAAUUCCCGGUGUAGUGGUGAAAUGCGUAGAUAUCGGGAGGAACACCAGUGGCGAAGGCGGCUUCCUGGCCUGUUCUUGACGCUGAGGCGCGAAAGCUAGGGGAGCAAACGGGAUUAGAUACCCUGGUAGUCCACGCUGUAAACG
rnacentral:rRNA from 1 species